UACAGAGGUCCCGAGCGUUGUUCGGAUUCACUGGGCGUAAAGGGUGCGUAGGCGGUCGGGAAAGUCUGAUGUGAAAGCCCCGGGCCCAACUCGGGAAUGGCAUCGGAAACUGCCCGGCUAGAGGGUUGGAGGGGGGAUUGGAAUUCCCGGUGUAGCAGUGAAAUGCGUAGAGAUCGGGAGGAACGCCAGUGGCGAAGGCGAAUCCCUGGACAACCCCUGACGCUGAGGCACGAAAGCUUGGGGAGCAAACAGG
rnacentral:rRNA from 1 species